GCUGGCAGGUGGAUAGCUCGGCUCGAGAGGCGAAGAAGGACGUGACAAGCUGCGAUAAGCUGUGGCGAGGUGCACGUGACCGUUGAACCACGGAUCUCCGAAUGAGACUUCUCCUCUUGAAUCCGUAAGGAUAGCGAACCCGGGGAAUUGAAACAUCUUAGUACCCGGAGGAAGAGAAACCAAUAUGGGAUGCUGUGAGUAGGAGCGACCCAAAGCAGCAGAGGGCAAACUGAAUCCUGCGCUGAAAAGCGUUGGAGAUGUGGUGUAUGGGCCCCGUUGUUCCCUCGUUUCGCGAUGCGAACGUGGCUGGAAUGCCAGGCUAGAGAGGGUGAGAGCCCCGUAGCAGGAGCGAAAUGGGAUCAGGGGAUCUCCUGAGUAGCACUUCUUGGAAAUGGAGUGUGAAGGUGGGGGACACAAACCUCCAACCCUAAAUACUCCUCGAGUCCGAUAGCGUACAGUACCGUGAGGGAACGCUGAAAAGCACCCUUUGCAGGGAGUUAAAAGAUCUUGAAACCUGUCAGCUAUAGUGGGAUGCGCACUUUUCGGGUGUGCAUCGUCCGUUUUGAAUAACGUGCCAGGGAGUUUGCCUGUGUGGCGAGGAUAAGCCGGUCAGCGGCGGAUCCGGAGCGAAAGCGAAUCCCCGCAGCUUGCGAGGGGGAGGGUGUGAAAGCGCCUCAAGUCACACGGGCCAGACCCGAAGCCAGAUGAUCUAGCCGUGGGUAAGGUGAAGCGGGGGUAAAACCUCGUGGAGGCCUGCAGAGGUGCUACGGGCAAGUGUUCUCGUAACCUGUGGCUAGGGGUGAAAAGCCAAUCGAAUCUGGCGAUAGCUGGUUCCUGCCGAAGUUGGCCUUAGUCAAGCCUCGACGGAGAUGAGCUGCGUGGUAGAGCUACGGAUUGGGAAUUAUGGGGGAGAAAUCCCUCGGUUCCUUGUCCAACUCCGAAUGCGUGGCUAUCGUAGAUGUCGGGAGACGCGGCUCCGGGGUAAGCUUGGAGUCGGAGAGGGGAACAACCCGGACUAUGGUUAAGGUCCCUAAUCGUGAUUGAGUGUGAAAGGGUGAAGAUUGUCCAUGGCCAAAGACAGCGAGGAGGUUGGCUUAGAAGCAGCCAUCCUUUAAAAAGUGCGUAACAGCUUACUCGUCGAGGUCGUGGGCGUCUAAGAUGGACGGGGCUAAAUCACGAACCGAUACCAUAGGGCUGCCAAAAGCAGUUUGGUAGGCAGGCGUACCGGUCGAGCGGAAGCCUUCGUGCGAGCGGGGGUGGAUCGUCCGGUAAUGAGAAUCCUGGUGAGAGUAGGAUCGUAGCGUGGUGAGAAUCCACGUCACCGAAAGGGCAAGGGUUCCUUACCAAUGCAAAUCAGGUAAGGGUGAGUUGAUCCUAAGCUAGCGCCUAAUUGGUGCAGUGGCGAAAGGGAAACCGGUUAAUAUUCCGGUACCGCCUCGGUAUGUGCGGCAACGCAAGUUCCAUUUCUGACGCUUCGGGCUAAGUGCACACGUGAUCAAGCGUGUUAAACAGUCCAGGUCGGAGGAGUUUCGUCAUGAAGAGAAUCCGAGCAAGGCUGUGAUGAGCCGUGCUAAAGCACGGUUGCGCCGAUGCCUGGAGCCCGUGAAAAGGGAAUGGAAACAAAUCCGGGGCGAUCAUACCCAGAACCAGCACAGGUGCCCCUAGGUGAGUAACCUAAGGUGUCCAGGGAGAAUCUUGGUAAGGGAAUUCGGCAAAUUGGUCCCGUACCUUCGGUAUAAGGGAUCCCUGCUUUUGUGCCCGUACGGGUGCGUUGGCAGGGCGCAGUGACAAAAGAGGUCCGACUGUUUAACAAAAACAUAACUGACUGCAAGCCCGCAAGGGUGAGUAUAGUCGGUGACGUCUGCCCAGUGCCAGUACCUAAAACUCCUUUUCAAGGGAGCCAAGGGCUGGUAAACGGCGGGAGUAACUAUAACUCUCUUAAGGUAGCGAAAUGCCUUGCCGUUUGAAUGACGGCCUGCAUGAAUGGCGUAACGAGAUCUCUACUGUCCCUACCGAGAACCCUCCGAAAACUCUUUCCUGGUGCAAAGGCCAGGGACGUCCAGUGGGAAGCGAAGACCCCGUGAAACUUUACUGUAGCCUGCAGCUGCAAUACGGGUUUUGUUGCGUAGCGUAGGUGGGAGCCUUAGAAGUGAAGACUCCGGUCUUCAU
rnacentral:rRNA from 1 species